rnacentral:rRNA from 1 species
UGCGUAGGUGGUGAGGUAAGUCGGAUGUGAAAGCUCCGAGCUCAACUCGGAAAUGGCAUUGGAAACUACCUUGCUCGAGGGUUUGAGGGGGGACUGGAAUACUUGGUGUAGCAGUGAAAUGCGUAGAUAUCAAGUAGAACACCAGUGGCGAAGGCGAGUCCCUGGAAAACUCCUGACACUGAGGCACGAAAGCUAGGGGAGCAAACA